AACGAACGCUGGCGGCAGGCUUAACACAUGCAAGUCGAGCGCCCCGCAAGGGGAGCGGCAGACGGGUGAGUAACGCGUGGGAAUCUACCCAUCUCUACGGAAUAACGCAUGGAAACGUGUGCUAAUACCGUAUACGUCCUUCGGGAGAAAGAUUUAUCGGAGAUGGAUGAGCCCGCGUUGGAUUAGCUCGUUGGUGGGGUAAAGGCCUACCAAGGCGACGAUCCAUAGCUGGUCUGAGAGGACGAUCAGCCACACUGGGACUGAGACACGGCCCAGACUCCUACGGGAGGCAGCAGUGGGGAAUAUUGGACAAUGGGCGCAAGCCUGAUCCAGCCAGGCCGCGUGAGUGAUGAAGGCCCUAGGGUUGGAAAGCUCUUUCACCGGUGAAGAUAAUGACGGUAACCGGAGAAGAAGCCCCGGCGAACUUCGUGCCAGCCGCCGCAGUAAGAC
rnacentral:rRNA from 1 species